rnacentral:rRNA from 1 species
GGUGAACGCUGGCGGCGUGCCUAAGACAUGCAAGUCGAGCGGGGCAGGUUUAUACCUGUUCCGCGGCGGUCGGGUGAGUAACGCGUGGGUGACCUACGCUGACGAGGCGGACAACCUGGGGAAACUCAGGCUAAUCCGCCAUGUGGUCCUGUCCUGUGGGGCAGGACUAAAGGCUGGAUAGCAAGCUUCCGCUUCGGCCCGCGUUCCAUCAGCUAGCUGGUGGGUUAAAGGUCCACCAAGGACACGCCGGGUAGCCGGACUGGGAGUAUCGCCGGCCACAGACGCACUAAGAUACUGGCCCCACUCCCACGGGAGACACCAGUUAGGAAUCUUCCGCAAUGGACGGAAGUCGGACGGAGCGAGAUCACGUGCAGGAGGAAGCCCUGCGGGGUGUAAACUCCUGAACUGAUGACUAAAGCCCUGUGUAGGGAGAGGACGGUACCCAGGUAAGAGCGACGGCCAACUCCGUG